rnacentral:rRNA from 1 species
GCCAGACUCCUACGGGAGGCAGCAGUGAGGAAUAUUGGUCAAUGGUCGGGAGACUGAACCAGCCAAGCCGCGUGAGGGAUGAAGGUACAGAGUAUCGUAAACCUCUUUUGUCAGGGAACAAAGGCGGGGACGUGUCCCCGGAUGAGUGUACCUGAAGAAAAAGCAUCGGCUAACUACGUGCCAGCAGCCGCGGUAAUACGUAGGGGGCAAGCGUUAUCCGGAUUUACUGGGUGUAAAGGGAGCGUAGACGGCCAUUCAAGCCAGAUGUGAAAGCCCGGGGCUCAACCCCGGGACUGCAUUUGGAACUGUGUGGCUAGAGUGUCGGAGAGGCAGGCGGAAUUCCUAGUGUAGCGGUGAAAUGCGUAGAUAUUAGGAGGAACACCAGUGGCGAAGGCGGAUUGCUAGACUGUAGCUGACACUGAGGCACGAAAGCGUGGGGAGCAAACAGGAUUAGAUACCCGAGUAACA